ensembl:lncRNA
GGGGCAUGGGGAGAGCGCCUGGUGCAAACCGCGCCGGGCACCGCUCUUCAUUAAGUGAUCGCUGCUAUCAAACACGCUCUGGAUGUCUUGAAGGGGAGGGGGGGCGGGGAGAGGCGGAGGGAAGAGGGGGAAAUCCCUUUUAGUUUUGCGAUUAGGCUGCCAGGCUUUGUAAAGGGCUUAAAAACAAAGUCUUGCUCAGUCUUUUGUAGGAGAGAUCCAGAUGUUAUGUAGAUUUCUGUUUGCGUGUUCGUUUUGAGCGGAUCCGGCGGUGAGCGCAGUAUUUACGUGUGUGUGUUGCUGGACUUUACCGUUUAUCGACGUUGCGCUUGUGGAAUGUAUGCUGGAGUAUUAGCUCGAGGAUCUCCUCCAAGAUUAAAGCUAGUCCUAAGAGCAACCGAAUUGCUGUGACUGACUUUCACGGGACUGUAAAGAGAGAUCGGCUCAAAAGUCCAAAGAGAAAUGAGGUGUCCGGUAUGGAAGUGCAUCUCAGUCAACCGCCAGCUCCUUUUGCCGAGGCUGGAAAUGGUUUUAACAGGCGGUAAAAUUUCAUCUUGUGGUGUCAAAUUGGGGUCAGUUUGGGGUUAGCGCUCUCAGUGUCCGAGCAGGAGCUGUCCAGCUGUGUGGGGAUUCAUUAAGGGCAAAAGAUCCGUUUCAAGAAAAACAAUACAAAGACAAUCAGAGGGCUAAAGAUCCUCUUCAAAUCGCAUUUUACAAGUGCACCAGAACAAAUAUGGAUGCUGAAACCUAUUCCCUUCAAACUCCCAAAUCGGCUUCUUAGCCCUUGGAGGGAGCGAGAGAGAAAAUCCUCUAAAGUUAAGAAGAGUCUGUUUUCAAUCAGCCUUUCCGAAGUGUGGCAUCUUAGUCCUUUGCUGGCUUUGAGACAUGCCUCUCUUGCUUGCUCGUUACAUCUCUCCCUCCCUCCCUCUCUCUCUCUUUUUCCACAGCCUUGCAAAAGCGGAUGGCACAACAGCUGCCUGUAAAACUCCAGAAGAGGAGCGCUCUCAUUUUUACACUGGAGUUCUCGGUCCGGAGAGAACAAUAUACUCCUACCUCUUUUGAAAUGAUCCGGAGACUCUCACAACACACAGGCAAUCACUCGAAGCACGAAUUUCCUUUUUUUUUUUUUUUUUUUUUUUUCCAAGAACUGCUCGGCCCAUUGUUUGAAGUGGGAUUCAGUGCAGAGCCCAAAGAGAAAAGGAAAAAAAAAAAUCCUGAGAGCCCGGCUUGGUAUUGCACAGAGAGAGAGCUGACAAAAUAUUAUAGCGUGUUUCCUAGAAGUACAUGGUGAGAGCCGGCGGUGUGUUCCCGAAAAGAGGUUGCUUUUUAUUCCCACCACCACCCCCCUCAAGAUUGUGAUCGUCUUUGUAUGUCUUUCUUUUGAUCCCACAAAGAGAAUGCAAUACACAUAUAUGUGUUUGCUCUCCAUACAAGAAAUGCCAUACAAUGGAAUAUGUGGCCGGUUAGUCCUCAUAAUGCUUAGUUUUGCUGUAAUUAAUUGAAAACAGUUAUUAGGUCGUCAUUGGCAAUAGCGUAAAUAAUUGCAGCAGAUUUUUACUUAAAAUUGACCGGUCAUAGAGUGAUAGAUCGAUUCGAGGUAUAAAAAUGAUGUAUCAAAACAUCAAUGUCGAUUAUUUGAAAUAUUGUAGUCGAAUCUUUUUAUUGCUUCAUCGGUUAAGUGUCUGAAAGUGCUGUGUUCCAACAUAUAUUUAUGUUGUCAAUACUGUCAAAACUGUCAGUUUUAUUACAGUGGAUUUGUAAUACAUUUCGGAUUUGCUCAUUUACAUAAAAUGUCCACCUCAGAUACCCCUCCUUUUCUCCAUCUCUGGAAAUCUGUGUCAGUUUAAUGAAAGGAUUCAAGACUCAUACCUGAAGAGGGGAAAAAAAAGAAAAAGGAAAGGAGAAAAAAAAAAAAAAAGGAGGUGUUGCUCCAUUAUGUCCAAUUUUAACAUCCGUUUGGAAAGCUUGGGCUAUUUCUGACUCGCCAAAAGAGGGAAUUCCUCCCCCCUUCCCCCUCCCUCCCCCGGCCCCGCUUAUUUUCCUAGUAGAAUUUAAACACUUUCCUACUCUCACACCUAGAUUAAACCCUCCAGGAGAAUUGGGAAAUUGUACAGGGUUACAGCAAGGAGCCGAAGCACACCUGUGAAUGCCACAACCUUCCCAAAGAGAGCAACAAUCCCCCGAACCAUGCACGCACGCACAGGGGUUUGAAUCCUGCUAGAAAGAAGGAGACAAAAGGAGCAAUAAAUACGUGUGUGAUCCCUUCCUAACGGUUUGG